rnacentral:rRNA from 1 species
AGAGUUUGAUCCUGGCUCAGGAUGAACGCUGGCGGCGUGCCUAACACAUGCAAGUCGAACGGAGUUCUUAAGGAAUGCGACUUCGGUCAAAUGACUUUUGAACUUAGUGGCGGACGGGUGAGUAACGCGUGAGCAACCUGCCUUUCAGAGGGGGAUAACAUUUGGAAACAGAUGCUAAUACCGCAUAAGAUUACAGUACCGCAUGAUACAGUGAUCAAAGGAGCAAUCCGCUGAAAGAUGGGCUCGCGUCCGAUUAGAUAGUUGGUGAGGUAACGGCUCACCAAGUCGACGAUCGGUAGCCGGACUGAGAGGUUGAACGGCCACAUUGGGACUGAGACACGGCCCAGACUCCUACGGGAGGCAGCAGUGGGGAAUAUUGCACAAUGGGCGAAAGCCUGAUGCAGCAACGCCGCGUGAGGGAAGACGGUUUUCGGAUUGUAAACCUCUGUUUUCGGUGACGAACAAAUGACGGUAACCGAGUAGGAAGCCACGGCUAACUACGUGCCAGCAGCCGCGGUAAUACGUAGGUGGCAAGCGUUAUCCGGAAUUACUGGGUGUAAAGGGAGCGCAGGCGGGAUAGCAAGUCAGCUGUGAAAACUAUGGGCUCAACCCAUAAACUGCAGUUGAAACUGUUAUUCUUGAGUGGAGUAGAGGCAAGCGGAAUUCCGAGUGUAGCGGUGAAAUGCGUAGAUAUUCGGAGGAACACCAGUGGCGAAGGCGGCUUGCUGGGCUCUAACUGACGCUGAGGCUCGAAAGUGUGGGGAGCAAACAGGAUUAGAUACCCUGGUAGUCCACACCGUAAACGAUGAUUACUAGGUGUUGGAGGAUUGACCCCUUCAGUGCCGCAGUUAACACAAUAAGUAAUCCACCUGGGGAGUACGACCGCAAGGUUGAAACUCAAAGGAAUUGACGGGGGCCCGCACAAGCAGUGGAGUAUGUGGUUUAAUUCGAAGCAACGCGAAGAACCUUACCAGGUCUUGACAUCCGACUAACGAGAUAGAGAUAUGUCAGGUGCCCUUCGGGGAAAGUCGAGACAGGUGGUGCAUGGUUGUCGUCAGCUCGUGUCGUGAGAUGUUGGGUUAAGU